rnacentral:lncRNA from 1 species
CUUGGUAUUUUCAUAAUAAUAAUAAUAAUAAUAAUACAGAACCCACAUUUGUUGGACAUCAAAAUCAAAGUUUUAUCGACUUAACUGUAUCUUACAGAAUUGCCACAAAAUACAUCAAUAGGAACUUAGCCCGACUGACUCCUUAUCAUGACAUGCAUAUAUUUGUUUGUUUCCAGUUACAUUUCGAAAUUGGUAACUCAUCUUUUGACCUUGAGGUAAACAGCAGCAAUAGAUAUAUUUCCAGAGCUAACUGGGACUCUUUUGAAUUAGACUAUUGGAAGGGGUUACCGAAAUACAAGAUCAAAUACAUUUCAACUAUAACAUGCAUUCCAUUUUUAACAAUUACACUUCACUCGUUAAAUACUGUUGCCAUAGAAACAUUCCAUUUAACAACAAGAAAAACAUAGUGUGCCCUGGUGGACUCCACAACUCACAAUGCAUAGACACCUAGUUAACAAUUUAUACAGAAAGUUCUAGUUAAAGUCAUAACCAACACACUCAUGACACAUUACACAGGGAAUACAUCUUGGCCAAAAGGCUUUACCAAAAAGAAAUAUGUAAUAGUAAGUUAAGGUCAUGGAAGGAAUUUUGUGAUGUGGAGAGUAAUCGCAAUCUGUGGGGUGAAGUAUAUUCAUUUCUAAAACUAUACAAUUUGAAGCUGACACCAUAGACACUUUAAACAGAUACACAGG